AUUGAACGCUGGCGGCAUGCCUUACACAUGCAAGUCGAACGGCAGCACGGGUGCUUGCACCUGGUGGCGAGUGGCGAACGGGUGAGUAAUACAUCGGAACGUACCUUAUCGUGGGGGAUAACGCAGCGAAAGCUGUGCUAAUACCGCAUACGCCCUGAGGGGGAAAGCGGGGGAUCGCAAGACCUCGCGCGAUUAGAGCGGCCGAUGCCUGAUUAGGUUGUUGGUGGGGUAAAAGCCCACCAAGGCGACGAUCAGUAGCUGGUCUGAGAGGAGGAUCAGCCACAAUGGGACUGAGACACGGGCCAGACUCCUACGGGAGGCAGCAGUGGGGAAUUUUGGACAAUGGGGGCAACCCUGAUCCAGCAAUGCCGCGUGAGUGAAGAAGGCCUUCGGGUUGUAAAGCUCUUUUGUCAGGGAAGAAACACCGGCUCUAACACAGUCCGGGAAUGACGGUACCUGAAGAAUAAGCACCGGCUAACUACGUGCCAGCCGCCGCAGUAA
rnacentral:rRNA from 1 species